rnacentral:rRNA from 1 species
UGGGGAAUAUUGCACAAUGGGCGCAAGCCUGAUGCAGCCAUGUCGCGUGUGUGAAGAAGGCCUUCGGGUUGUAAAGCACUUUCAGCGGGGAGGAAGGCGUUAAGGUUAAUAACCUUGGCGAUUGACGUUACCCGCAGAAGAAGCACCGGCUAACUCCGUGCCAGCAGCCGCGGUAAUACGGAGGGUGCAAGCGUUAAUCGGAAUUACUGGGCGUAAAGCGCACGCAGGCGGUCUGUCAAGUCGGAUGUGAAAUCCCCGGGCUCAACCUGGGAACUGCAUUCGAAACUGGCAGGCUAGAGUCUUGUAGAGGGGGGGAGAAUUCCAGGUGUAGCGGUGAAAUGCGUAGAGAUGUGGAGGAAUACCGGUGGCGAAGGCGGCCCCCUGGACAAAGACUGACGCUCAGGUGCGAAAGCGUGGGGAGCAAACAGG